UACGGAGGGUGCUAGCGUUGUUCGGAAUUACUGGGCGUAAAGGGCGCGUAGGCGGCCGUUUGCGUCGGAUGUGAAAGCCCGGGGCUCAACCUCGGAACGGCAUUCGAUACGGGACGGCUGGAGACCGGGAGAGGAGAGUGGAAUAGCCAGUGUAGAGGUGAAAUUCGUAGAUAUUGGCUGGAACACCGGUGGCGAAAGCGGCUCUCUGGCCCGGUUCUGACGCUGAGGCGCGAAAGCUAGGGUAGCAAACGGG
rnacentral:rRNA from 1 species